rnacentral:rRNA from 1 species
AUUGAACGCUGGCGGCAUGCUUUACACAUGCAAGUCGAACGGUAACAGGUUAAGCUGACGAGUGGCGAACGGGUGAGUAAUGCAUCGGAACGUGCCCGGUCGUGGGGGAUAACGCAGCGAAAGCUGCGCUAAUACCGCAUACGAUCUAAGGAUGAAAGCGGGGGACCGUAAGGCCUCGCGCGAUCGGAGCGGCCGAUGUCAGAUUAGGUAGUUGGUGGGGUAAAGGCUCACCAAGCCAACGAUCUGUAGCUGGUCUGAGAGGACGACCAGCCACACUGGGACUGGGACACGGCCGAGACUCCUACGGGAGGCAGCAGUGGGGAAUUUUGGACAAUGGGCGAAAGCCUGAUCCAGCAAUGCCGCGUGCAGGAAGAAGGCCUUCGGGUUGUAAACUGCUUUUGUACGGAGCGAAAAGGACUCCUCUAAUACAGGGGGCUCAUGACGGUACCGUAAGAAUAAGCACCGGCUAACUACGUGCCAGCCGCCGCCGUAA